rnacentral:rRNA from 1 species
UACGGGGGGAGCAAGCGUUGUUCGGAUUUACUGGGCGUAAAGGGCGCGUAGGCGGCGCCGCAAGUCGACUGUGAAAUCUCCGGGCUUAACCCGGAAAGGUCAGCCGAUACUGCGGGGCUAGAGUGCAGAAGGGGCAACUGGAAUUUCCGGUGGAGCGGUGAAAUGCGUAGAGAUCGGAAAGAACACCAACGGCGAAAGCACUCUGCUGGGCCGACACUGACACUGAGAGACGAAAGCUAGGGGAGCGAAUGGG